GUCAGACUCAGAGGAUCUUCCCAAAGGCAAGCACCAGAUGCAUUCACGCAGGAAAUGAACCAUGUUCACUGAGAAGCUACUGGAAGACUUGAACAUCUUUUUUAAUGAGAACCUAUACCCAAACCCCAGCCUGCAGUGGGCUUCGAAAAUUGACAUACAUCCAACAGUACUGGAGGUCUGGUUCGAAAACCACAGAGCAAAACUUAAGAAAGCAAAAUGCGAGCAUAUUCAGCAAAAACAAGAAACUCAACAACCAUCAAUACCAGAGGGUGAAGUCAAGACUAGUGCUGGCCUGAGAAAUACACACACGGUACUCAGAUUCCCCAAUGCUGUUCAUCCUGUCGGCCUGGUGUAUAUGAAUCUUUGGACACCCUUGUUCCAACUCAUUCUGUACCCCAACCUUAAGGUCCCUACAAAUGACUUCCCUGGCCAAAAAAUAGUCCAUUUUGGCUGCUGCCAAGAUCCUAACAUAUACUGCCUCUAGCCCGUUUUGGAAUCCCAAGUUUGUUCUCCAAGCUUCAAUUCUAGUUCUUCUGCCUGUUCUCUCUACGAAGUCGAGAGAGAUGCU
rnacentral:lncRNA from 1 species